GGGGGCUGCUGCCCAGCAUGGUGGGGAGGUGACAAACCUGCUGGCACCUCUUGGUGGGAAGGGGCUGCUGCCCAGCAUGGUGGGGAGGUGACAGGAGGUGACAAUCCUGCUGGCACCUUUUGGUGGGAAGGGGCUGCUGCCCAGCAUGGUGGGGAGGUGAUAGGAGGUGACAAACCUGCUAGUGCCUCGUGGUGGGAAGGGGUUGCUGCCCAGCAUGGUGAAGAGGUGACAGCAGGUGACAACCCUGCUGGCACCUCUUGGUGGGACAGGGCUGCUGCCCAGCAUGGUGAAGAGGUGACAGGAGGUGACAAUCCUGCUGGCACCUCUCGGUGGGAAUAGGCUGUUGCCCAGCAUGGUGAGGAGGUGACAACUCUGCUGGCACCUUUUGGUGGGACAGGGCUGCUGCCCAGCAUGGUGGGGAGGUGACAACCCUGCUGGCACCUCUUGGUGGGAAGGAUCCCCCAGAGCUCCCCAGAGCACAGCACUGGCUCAGACCACAGGGGACUGCAGGGAGAGGGGCUGGCACCCAAACACAGUGUGACACUGGCUUGAGGGGGUCCCAGGCCUGCAGGGACCCCGUGUGUCAGUGUCACUGUCUCAGGGGGUGACAACCCUGCCUGGAUCUUGGGGUGAGAGGAGAUUGGUGCCCAGCACGGCCCUGGCUCUGGGGAUCCAGCCGGGCUCCCCAGGCUGUCUCUGCCCCUGCGGCACAGCUCCUCACCACCCUCAUUACUUUCUCCACCUGCCUCUCUUCAAAGGGCCCUUCCCUGUGCCUGUCCCUGUCCCUGUCCCGGCUUUCCCCCGCCGUCCCCGGGGCCGGGCUGAGUCAGCCGUGGGGCCCGGGGGUGGCAGCAGGACGCGGGGGUGGCAGCAGGACGCGGGGCCGGCCCGGUGACUCUCGGCGUGCCUUGGGCCUGGGUCACAGGCACAGGGUGACUCGCCAGGCGCUUCUUGCUGAGGCGGCAGCAGUUAAUAGCAGGGCAAUUAUGAAGCCGAGGGAAUCAUCCCAGCCACUCCAGCUGGAGGGCAGCUGAGAGCCCCGGGGUGGCAGCCGUGCCCUGCCCACGCUGGGACCCGGCACUGCCCCAGGGCUGGGGUGGAACUGUCCCUGUCCUUGAGGAGGGAGCAGGACUGGCUCAGCCGGUGUCCAGUGCCCGUCUGGCCGUGGCAUGGGGGGUGGCACAAGGCUGGUGCUGAGCCAGGCUGUGCCCUGU